ACGGAAUGUUCAGACAGUAACAUGUCCGGUCCAUACAAUUAUUCUCUGGAACAGACUGCACUUUGGAAUUAGACUGAAGAGUUUAUAAGGACAGGGCAGAGGAACCUCCUGGGAAAGAAGAAACCAGUUCUGAAGAAAACUUGAAUGAUAACAGCUCACAUAUUCCUGGAGGACGUUGUGUGCUGAGGCACAACCCGAAUGCACUGACGUGGCGUCCCUGAACAGGUAGGAAUCUCCUGAGGAGUGAGAACAGCCACCUCACCAUGUAGCCGUGUCAUAGUGGGAAUAUGGACCUUGUGAUUAUCACCACCACUUUGGCCAGGGCUGGGUUUGAACCCACCACCCUCAGUGUAUGGGGCCGGCUCCCUACCCUCUGAGCCACGGGCACCACUGGAUUGCCUUUCAUUGUGCAAAGGAGGAGACUUUUCUAAAGAGAUGUUAACACUACCUACUCCUGAUGUUUAUAGACUUUUCUUUAUCUCAAGAAUGUCGAGUAUUAAUUUUCAUAGAAGGAGGGAUUAGAAGAAGCAAACACUUUAAGUUUGCCCUUCGGAUUACGUCGUUUUUGGUGCGUGUUUUUUACUUUUCGGUGCCGUUCUAAGCCUGCUCCUCUGCCAAACUCCCAGUGCA